UACGUAGGGUGCAAGCGUUGUCCGGAAUUAUUGGGCGUAAAGAGCUCGUAGGUGGUUUGUCGCGUUGUUCGUGAAAACUCACGGCUUAACUGUGAGCGUGCGGGCGAUACGGGCAGACUGGAGUACUGCAGGGGAGACUGGAAUUCCGUGGUAGCGGUGGAAUGCGCAGAUAUCAGGAGGAACACCGGUGGCGAAGGCGGGUCUCUGGGCAGUAACUGACGCUGAGGAGCGAAAGCGUGGGGAGCGAACAGG
rnacentral:rRNA from 1 species